rnacentral:rRNA from 1 species
AACGAACGCUGGCGGCAUGCUUAACACAUGCAAGUCGAACGAGACCUUCGGGUCUAGUGGCGCACGGGUGCGUAACGCGUGGGACUCUGCCCUUAGGUACGGAGUAACUCAGAGAAAUUUGUGCUAAUACCGUAUGAUGUCGAAAGACCAAAGAUUUAUCGCCUAAGGAUGAGCCCGCGUAAGUUUAGCUUGUUGGUGAGGUAAAAGCUCACCAAGGCGACGGUCUUUAGCCGGUCUGGGAGGAUGAUCAACCACAGUGGGACUAAGACACGGCCAAGACUCCUACAGGAGGCAGCAGUGGGGAAUAUUGAACAAGGGGCGAAAGGCUGAUCCAGCAAUGCCGCGUGGGUGAUGAAGGCCGUAGUGUUGUAAAGCUCUUUGACCAGGGAUGAUAAUGACAGUACCUGGAGAAUAAGGUCCGGCUAACUCCGUGCCAGCAGCCGCGGUAA